GAGGCCUUGUACGGCAGCAACUGCGAGAUGGAUGGCACAGAAGCGACUUGGGCAGAUCAGCGGCCAGCGCCAUCCGCCAUGGCCGACAGCAGCCUCAAGCUAGCAGCCUGGCAGCUUGGCCCCUGGCCAGCCUCAAGCUGGCAGCCUGGCCCCUGACGUGUCUCACAGGGACAAAGGUGCAUCUUAUGCUGUGGAGCCUGGGGAUCCCAGGCCAGCUGAGCUGCCCAUGGCUGCCCAGCUGGGAGGACCCCCAUGUGGUGUCGAACGGAGCAUGCGCACAAGAAGCCCGCCCACAGCCAUCUGGGGGAUUCUGCAAAAUGGAGGUGCAAGGCCCGGGCAGGCCAGAGGACAUGGCUGAGGAGGACACGAGGGACCAUAAGGUCUGCCAAGAAAAACACCAGCACUACAUAAGCCUUUGCCUGCAGGGUGUGUCCUAGGGAAGAAUGGUCCCAGAGAAUGAUUCUUCAGUGACUGAGUUUAUCCUGCUGGGUUUAACACAGAAGCCAGA
rnacentral:lncRNA from 1 species